GACGAACGCUGGCGGCGUGCUUAACACAUGCAAGUCGAACGGAAAGGCCCUGCUUUUGUGGGGUUCUCGAGUGGCGAACGGGUGAGUAACACGUGAGUAACCUGCCCUUGACUUUGGGAUAACUUCAGGAAACUGGGGCUAAUACCGGAUAGGAGCUCCUGCUGCAUGGUGGGGGUUGGAAAGUUUCGGCGGUUGGGGAUGGACUCGCGGCUUAUCAGCUUGUUGGUGGGGUAGUGGCUUACCAAGGCUUUGACGGGUAGCCGGCCUGAGAGGGUGACCGGCCACAAUGGGACUGAGAGACGGCGCAGACUCCUACGGGAGGCAGCAGUGGGGAAUAUUGCACAAUGGGCGGAAGCCUGAUGCAGCAACGCCGCGUGCGGGAUGACGGCCUUCGGGUUGUAAACCGCUUUCGCCUGUGACGAAGCGUGAGUGACGGUAAUGGGUAAAGAAGCACCGGCUAACUACGUG
rnacentral:rRNA from 1 species